rnacentral:lncRNA from 1 species
GGCAACGCGAAGAGGACAACCCUCUGGCCAUACAGAAACCCUUCCUUCUUCUGUGAGAGUAAUCUGGAAGACUGGAGAACUCGGCUUUAAGACGGAAUGAUCUAAUGGAGGAGCAGCAGCGUGAGCCAUUUUGGCAGACGAAAUCGGCAGAGGAUAACUUUCCACUCCCCAGCAAUACAGGAGCGCUGUAUAAGCCGGCUUUGGCGAGGUUACCCUGAGGAAGCAGGAGUAGAGGACCGCAAAGAAGAAAGCAAGCACCCCUGAAAACCAUCCUCCAUCACUCUAAGAGGGACACGCAGGAAAGUUACCCUCUCCCUGCUCAGACCCUGACAAUGGUCUCAGUCCGUAGCAGCCAAAGGACCACAGCUCUGAAGAAAAGAAGAUCGCUAAGCACAGCAUCCCUUCCUGAAUGUUCCCAAGCCUGUGUCCAAGGCAUCUCUUCAGCCACAAAGUGCGAGCCGCCAUGAAGGAGGGGCUUGCUGCGGCUCAGAUGUGGAUAUUCUUUGUUCAAAAUCAAACCUUUCACACGGUCCCCAUUUCAUGGCUGUACAAUUUCUGGCUGCGGUGCUGUCUCUAAUCAAACACCGUUCCAGGAGGUCCACAAGGAGGUAUCCUUGCCUGUCUUGAGAUGAGCACCUUGGCUUGCUGGGACAGUGUCUCUCCAUCUACUGUGAGCAGAGAGCAUAUGCAGAUCUUGGACAGAAUGCUGCUUCAGAGUUCUUAAGCAUCUGGACUCAAGUUUCAAAUUACUUAUAAAUAUCUUCAAAUGUUCUCAGGACUUCUCUCUUCUGAAUACUGACAUCUUAUUCUAUGACUCACAAAUAAUGUAUCCAUAGGUAAAUAUAAAAAAAGAUAUGCUGAUUUUGAUUAAGCAUGUGACUGGGGUCAGUAAAGACGAGAAUCUUUGACAUGGACUUUAACUCCUGUUGGGGAUUCACUGUACACUUACUUUUGGUUUGUAAGAGAUUUUUCUAAAAGCUCUUGGGUUUGUGUCUUAAUCCUCUUGUUUGACCAAAUAAAAAUUCACCAGGGCUGGCAAGAUGGCUCAGCAGGUAAAAGAUCUCAACACAAAAGCCUGGUGACAUGAGUUCAAUCCCAGAGAUUCACAAUGGAAGGAGAAGUGACUCCUGAGAGCCAUCUUCUAACCUCCGCAUCCCCUGAUCCCAUGUAAAAAGCCAGGCACAUGCCUGUGGUCCCAGUAGUGGAGGGGAAGACAGGUGGACCUGGGGCUCACUAGCUGACUGGGCCAGCCUAAGGCCAACGAGAGACUCAGUCUCAAAACACAAGUCUUCGAGGAAUGACACUGUAAGCAGAUCUCUGGCUCACACACAUAUGCUCACCCCCAUAUACACAUGUCAUAGAAAAGAAAAGAAAUGUUAAUAACUUCGGCAUCUCGAGGGAAGCUCUCCGUAAAGGAAAGAAAAUAUGAUUGACUUGUUAAGUUUCACAUUUAUAAGACAAUCUGAAGUAUUAUUUGUAUAAAUAGCUUGCUAGAAAACUAAAAAAGAUUACAUAGGACAAAUCCAUUUUUAAUUAUUAGUAUUUAUGUGAUACUAAAUUUAAGUCAUGUGUGUCUUAUAUUUUCAUGAGAUGUAAAAUAGUAAUAUUUAAAACCCAUUAAGUAUAGAUGAGAAUGACUGAGUUAUGUGCUGCUUUCUGGAGCAUAAAUUAUAACCUCUAACACAAAAUUCUGUCAAUAAGCAAUUGCUAGAAAUAUUCCUAUCCUUUUCAAAUUAACAAUAGGAAUACAAAAUAAUUGUAGUUUUAGAGUAUGUCCAAAUCUCCUGAGUUUAACACCAACUGAGUGGUGAAUGUCUUCAGUCUCUGCUGUUUUAAUCCAAAUCUCAAAUCAUUAAAAUAUGGACGUAAAUAUUUUAAGCAAUUCUAGGAAAACAAUGCUGUGCCUCGUAGAGUCUCUGUAUGUCAGAAACUUCAAUAAAUGUAGAGGAUUUA